UGGGGAAUAUUGCACAAUGGGCGCAAGCCUGAUGCAGCCAUGCCGCGUGUGUGAAGAAGGCCUCCGGGUUGUAAAGCACUUUCAGCGAGGAGGAAGGUGGUGAACUUAAUACGUUCAUCAGUUGACGUUACUCGCAGAAGAAGCACCGGCUAACUCCGUGCCAGCAGCCGCGGUAAUACGGAGGGUACAAGCGUUAAUCGGAAUUACUGGGCGUAAAGCGCACGCAGGCGGUUUGUUAAGUCAGAUGUGAAAUCCCCGGGCUCAACCUGGGAACUGCAUUUGAAACUGGCAAGCUAGAGUCUCGUAGAGGGGGGUAGAAUUCCAGGUGUAGCGGUGAAAUGCGUAGAGAUCUGGAGGAAUACCGGUGGCGAAGGCGGCCCCCCUGGACGAAGACUGACGCUCAGGUGCGAAAGCGUGGGGCAGCAAACAGGAUUAGAUACCCUGGUAGUCCACGCUGUAAACGAUGUCGAUUUGGAGGUUGUGCCCUUGAGGCGUGGCUUCCGGAGCUAACGCGUUAAAUCGACCGCCUGGGGAGUACGGCCGCAAGGUUAAAACUCAAAUGAAUUGAC
rnacentral:rRNA from 1 species